rnacentral:rRNA from 1 species
UAUUCAUCAAAAAUUUGUUCUUUGUCUCGAUCUCUCCCUAUCUCAAUGGUCCCUUCGAUAUCGAGAUGUGAAGAGGCAACUGUAUAAGACUCUUCUAUGACGUCUUAUAAUUGGAAUGAGUUGAGCAUAAAUCCUUCAACAAGGAUCAAGUGGAAGGUAAGUCUGGCCUGCAGCCGCGGUAAUUCAAGCUCUUCUAGCGUAUAUUAAAAUUGUUGCGGUUAAAACGUUCAAAGGUUAUUCUUGUCCAAUACAGAUAGGUCACUG